AACGCACAUUGCGCCCCUUGGUAUUCCGAGGGGCAUGCCUGUUCGAGCGUCAUUAUAACCAAUCCCGUAAAGGGGUCUUGGGGCUCGCUAUAUAAGCGUCUCUUAAAAUUAAUAGCGGUACCGUUGUGCUCUAAGCGUAGUAAUUAUCCUCGCUAUAGAGUUCUACUAAGUACCUGCUAAACCCAUUAUUUUAUUAGGUUGACCUCGGAUCAGGUAGGGAUACCCGCUGAACUUAA
rnacentral:misc_RNA from 1 species